UGUACUCUGUGUUACGGGAUGAUUGGAUGUUGCCGAUAAAGCAACGUUUUUGACGUUACCGUAGUAGAAAGCCCCAGCUAACUACGUGCCAGCAGCUGCGGUAAUACGUAGGGGGCAAGCGUUGUCCGGAAUCACUGGGCGUAAAGCGCGCGUAGGCGGUGGAGUAAGUCAGACGUGAAAGGGUUCGGCUCAACCGAGCCAUUGCGUUUGAUACUACCUCACUUGAGUCUAGAAGAGGAAAGUGGAAUGUAUGGUGUAGCGGUGGAAUGCUUAGAUAUCAUAUAGAACACCCGUGGCAAAGGCGGCUUUCUGGUCUAAGACUGACGCUCAUGCGCGAAAGUUUGGGGAGCAACCGGGAUUAGAUACCCCGCUAGUCCUUACUGUAAACGAUGGGUACUAAGUGUAGGGGGAUUCAAUCCCUCUGUGCUGUAGCUAACGCAUUAAGUACCCCGCCUGGGGAGUACGGCCGCAAGGUUAAAACUCAAGGUAAUUGACGGGGGGCCGCACAAGCGGUGGAGCAUGUCGCUUAAUUCGAAGCAACGCGAAGAACCUUAUCCAGGGCUUGACAUCGCAGUGACCGCUAUAGAAAUAUAGUUUUCCUUCGGGACACUAUGACAGUUGCUGCAUGGCU
rnacentral:rRNA from 1 species